rnacentral:lncRNA from 1 species
CCACGUUACAAGCAGUCAGUCAAUAUGCUUCAAUUAUCUAAACCUAUUUAAACUCGAACCAUUUAAAGUCUACUUGAACAACAAUUACAACUAAUUUACUUAUAACAUUCAAACUGAAGCAAUAAAUGAUGGUUCAUAUAGUCCAAAUUAAUUACAAUAGACUAAUGCAAGUAAACAGUCCACAUUUACAACAUAAUAAGGCAUCACUUUCAUUUCAUCUUCAACUUGGGAUCUACAUCAAAGGGAAUUCAGUAUGUGUACCUAGAAUCGAAAUAAAGGAGAGGUAAGGAGUCCAUUUAAACAGGAACAGAACAGUAAAAGUAGCUCAAUAGUGAAUCAGCAACUCAAAACCAAUUUUGACUCCCAGUCACAAUACUAAACAGUCUCCAGCAACUUACUACCAAUCGGCAAACCAAAAUCGACUCAAAUAUACCAACAUCAACUCGAAAUGCAACCAGAAACUUUUAGAAGAGCCUCAAUCAUUGAGAGAUGGAAGUGCUCAAAACAUUUGACAUUAAGUAAGCUAGGAAUUGCAACUUUAACACUGAAUCUUGAAAUUAUUAUGCAGAAGCUUCGAUGGAACUGUAAAACUUCGAGUUUUUGUGCCUUUUUUUUGGUUUUUCUGGAAAUUUUUAUCCAAACAAUGAACUUUUCACUUUGAAAUUUCAGAUUUGUAUUUGAAUUUGAAAUACAAAUUUUAGAUGGUGAAACUUGCAGAAGGAUCUUUUUAGGAGGGAUUUUCUCAUCUG